UACGUAGGUGGCAAGCGUUGUCCGGAAUCAUUGGGCGUAAAGCGCGUGUAGGCGGUCCGGUAAGUCCGCUGUGAAAGUCGAGGGCUCAACCCUCGAAUGCCGGUGGAUACUGUCGGGCUAGAGUACGGAAGAGGCGAGUGGAAUUCCUGGUGUAGCGGUGAAAUGCGCAGAUAUCAGGAGGAACACCAAUUGCGAAGGCAGCUCGCUGGGACGUUACUGACGCUGAGACGCGAAAGCGUGGGGAGCAAACAGG
rnacentral:rRNA from 1 species